rnacentral:rRNA from 1 species
AGUGAACGCUGGCGGCAGGCCUAACACAUGCAAGUCGAACGGCAGCACAGUAAGAGCUUGCUCUUACGGGUGGCGAGUGGCGGACGGGUGAGGAAUACAUCGGAAUCUACUUUUUCGUGGGGGAUAACGUAGGGAAACUUACGCUAAUACCGCAUACGACCUACGGGUGAAAGCAGGGGAUCUUCGGACCUUGCGCGAUUGAAUGAGCCGAUGUCGGAUUAGCUAGUUGGCGGGGUAAAGGCCCACCAAGGCGACGAUCCGUAGCUGGUCUGAGAGGAUGAUCAGCCACACUGGAACUGAGACACGGUCCAGACUCCUACGGGAGGCAGCAGUGGGGAAUAUUGGACAAUGGGCGCAAGCCUGUUCCAGCCAUACCGCGUGGGUGAAGAAGGCCUUCGGGUUGUAAAGCCCUUUUUGUUGGGAAAGAAAAGCAGCAGGUUAAUACCCCGCUGUUCUGACGGUACCCAAAGAAUAAGCACCGGCUAACUUCGUG